UAUGCAGAAAGGGAAAGUGCGUUAUGAAAGAGCGUGGGUUGUGUACCGCAUUCCUUUUUCUUGUGGCCGUCAUUAUGUUGGACAGACGGGCCGCUGUAUCAAUAAAAGGUUGCGGGAACACUAUCUCUCUUUGCAUAACGGCUCACUUUCUCAUUUGGCUUCGUACUGCUCCACGUGUGGGUGCACACCUGUUC
rnacentral:lncRNA from 1 species